rnacentral:rRNA from 1 species
CAGUCGUACUGACGGAAAAUCAACUUUUCGGGUGCCUAUCGUGGGUGACGUUGAGCCUCACGGUCUUCGUUGCUUAUGUGUUGGUAUCUUUGGAGUGCACUUUUUCGUAUGGUAGGUCAACAUCGAUUUUGAUCGUCAUAAAAUGAUCGGAGGAAUGUGGCUUCGAUUUCGGUUGGAGUGUUAUAGCCUUUGGUAGAUGUGACGAUUGGGAUCGAGGAUUGCAACGAAUACCUUUGGGCUAUCCGUCUGGCCUCUGAAAGUCGCUUGGGUGCUGAAAGCUGCUUAUAGCAUUCAAGUUGGCGGUCAAUAGGUUAGAACGUGAUACA